rnacentral:tRNA from 1 species
GCCUGGUUAGUUUAAUGGUAGAACAUCGCUUUUACACGGCGAAUACGGGGGUCCGAUUCCCUCACUGGGCACCA